GGCCGUCUAGCUCAGUUGGUUAGAGCGUCGUGCUAAUAUACCGAUCAUACGGUGAUGUAUACGCGAAGGUCUUGGGUUCGACCCCCACGAUGGCCA